CCAUGUUGUGGCGCCACCCCGAGAAUGUGGAGCUCGAAAACGUCAAGGUCGUCCACUACUGCGCUGCCGUAAGUUCCUCUUCCCUCUCUUCUCUGCACUAAUCAUAAACGAAGCUGCAAGGAUUAACUAUAACAACGAUAAUUCUUGUCAUUUUUUUCUUCUGAGGAGUUAAUGUAUGAUUUAUUAAUUUUCCAAAAUUGAUAAUUUCGUGCUCCAUAGACGGAGCCAGCUCCACGAAAGGUAUAUUUGGCCCUCUGCAAAAGGAGUUGGUUCAAACAAAUUUAGAACCAAAUGAUCCAAAAUAUUGGAAUCAAAUCACUUUAAGGAAGGAGAAUCCAUUUUUUUUAAUCAUAAUGCAAAGUAUGUCGUUAAAAACUUCCUUAUCACUAUUAUUGUCUUUAAUGACAUUAGUACCUUUACUAAAAACAUUAAUAAAGAUGAUAGUGAUGGCUACUAUGAUGAUGCAUGGCGAGGUGGGGAAAACGGGCUCUAGGUAGAGGUGGUCAAAAUGAAAUGGAGGGUGUCAGAUCGUGACGUUUAGGUUUCAUUCUCACAGGAAUCUUAAGUUGCCAUUAAUAAAUAAAUAAAUAAAUGAGUGGUAUGGAGGAGGUUAUCGAGGAUGAAUGAUAUCAAGAUGAAAUACUAGAAAUAUCUAUCUUCAAUUGUGCACCGACCUUCACAAAAGUUUCUAUUCUUUUCAUAAUAUGAUUUUUUUUUUUGCUAUCGUCAUCGACAUUUGUUAUUCGUCUAAAAGUAGACAAAUCAUUUUGGGUCUCUUGGACCGUGGUGUAGCUUUAUUCUCUUUUGUGAAAAAGUUCUGAAAACCACUUUCUUUGUGUGUUAGUUGAUUAGGUUCUCAUGAGGGAGAAAAAGGCAGAAUCCUCAGCCGUAGGAAUGGGAAUGGGUCGGAUCUGCUUGACCAAUGCUCUAGAAUCUAAUAAAAAUAUUUUAUAAAAUAUUUAAAAACAUAUUUCAAAUAUAUAUGUAUAGGCAAAUUUAUCAAAAUAUUAUAUAUUACAAUAUAUGUGUGUGUGGUCAAGUUGACCUAUACUCAGACCCGACCUGGAUCCAAGUCCCGUCCAGGGUUUUGGACUCGGACCUGAACCAUUGGUUCCAAAACUUGGACCCGGACUUAAAUCGGAACAACCUAUCGGGUUGUUGGGUCGACCCGACCCGAUUACCACCCCUACUCAGUCUUCUCAUGCUAAGGGUGGCAACAGACAGGGCCUAAGCCGGCCAGCCUUNNNNNNNNNNNNNNNNNNNNNNNNNNNNNNNNNNNNNNNNNNNNNNNNNNNNNNNNNNNNNNNNNNNNNNNNNAUGGUUGGCCAGGUCGAACGGGGUCAACACUGCCCUAGACCUGCCCUCAGGUUAUAGUUUGUAGCCUAUGCCCUAUCUCAUGCGAACCAUGUCAUACCAAUAGACCAAAGGCCCAUGCCCUAUCUCAUGCGAACCAUGUCAUACCAAUAGAACAAAGGCCUCAAGGCUCAUCCUCAUCUUUGUAUUCCUUCUCUUUUUUCCACCUUCUCCCCUUGCAUUAUUUUUUCCCUCAUUACCCUUUUCUUCUUUUUGCACCUCCUCAUCUUAACAUUAUUUCUCUCACAUUCCCCAAUUUUGUCCUUUACUUUUCUUUUAUUCUAACUUCUUAUUGUCCUUAUCUUUUCCUUCUUCCUUUUGGGCAACAGGGCUCUAAGCCAUGGAGGUACACAGGCAAGGAGGCAAACAUGGAGAGGGAAGACAUCAAAAUGCUAGUCCAAAAGUGGUGGGAUAUCUACGAUGAUGAAUCUCUGGACUUCAAGGAAGAGGACUCAAUCCCAGAGGCUGAGAGCUUGAGCAAGCCAUCAAUCAUGGCUUCAAUGCCAGAACCAGCUAUCUCCUUCAUCCCUGCCCCCUCUGCUGCUUAAGAUGCCAUAACCAUCAUCUCGUUAUCCUUGGAUCUCAACUCUCCACCUUCAUCUCUACCCCAUGUGUGAUCAAGCUGUUAGGCUGCAACAUAGCUAAAUCCUUAGUGUGUUUAAUCUCACCAGUAUAUAAUUCUGAAGACUUUGUAU
rnacentral:lncRNA from 1 species